rnacentral:tRNA from 1 species
GGAGGCGUAUCGAAGCGGUCACAACGAGGCGGUCUUGAAAACCGUUUGGGUUAACAGCCCCCGGGGGUUCGAAUCCCUCCGCCUCCGCCA